rnacentral:rRNA from 1 species
AUGCCGGGCUCGACGUCCACGCUGCCAACUGGUCGCCCCUCACCAGGGCCACCGCCGCCGGCUUCCACCACCAUGUGCAUCUGUGCUUGGAGGAGGUCCCGCUGCAAGCCUGGGACUCUGACGUUGUUGGCAAGAUCAUUGGGAGCUCCUGCAUCAACCACUAUUUUGACGUCGCCACGGUGCAAAGGGAGCUCUGCUCUCAAGUUGUGGGCAUGGUGCUCCAACCCUUCUUCCAUCCCCAAGGUGAUGUGGGUUACCAUCGUCGGCAACGAGGUGGCAGUCUCGGCGGCUCCGCUGCGUGUCUGGCGUGGGCUCACCUACCGCGUCCUCGUCCACCUCGACCGCUCUGAGGACUUCGCGCCCUCCCAAGACGGCCACUUCCCGUCGCGUCCGCACAGCUCCGACAAGUUCGACUGGGAGUUCUGUUGCACAAUAAGCUAG